rnacentral:rRNA from 1 species
AUUGAACGCUGGCGGCAGGCCUAACACAUGCAAGUCGAACGAGUGGCGGACGGGUGAGUAAUGUCUGGGAACCUGCCUGAUGGAGGGGGAUAACUACUGGAAACGGUAGCUAAUACUGCAUACCAUCAGAUGUGCCCAGAUGGGAUUAGCUUGUGGGUGGGGUAACGGCUCACCAAGGCGACGAUCCCUAGCUGGUCUGAGAGGAUGACCAGCCACACUGGAACUGAGACACGGUCCAGACUCCGACGGGAGGCAGCAGUAGGGAAUCUUGCGCAAUGGGCGCAAGCCUGAUGGAGCCAUGCCGCGUGUGUGAAGAAGGUCUUCGGGUUGUAAAGCACUGUUGGUAGGGAGGCGUUACCUGCCGAGGAAGCACCGGCUAACUCCGUGCCAGCCGCCGCGGUAAUUC